rnacentral:rRNA from 1 species
UACAGAGGUCUCAACCGUUGUUCGGAUUCAUUGGGCGUAAAGGGCUCGUAGGCGGCCAACUAAGUCGGACGUGAAAUCCCUCGGCUUAACCGGGGAACUGCGUCUGAUACUGGAUGGCUUGAGUUUGGGAGAGGGAUGCGGAAUUCCAGGUGUAGCGGUGAAAUGCGUAGAUAUCUGGAGGAACACCGAUGGCGAGGGCAGGUCUCUGGGCUGACACUGACGCUCAUGCACGAAAGCGUGGGGAGCAAACAGG